rnacentral:snoRNA from 1 species
AUUCCAUGGUGCGGACAAUUUUUGAUCAUCAUAUUAAAGCGCUCAAAGGCUUCAUGGAACAUUUCACCUUGUUGUUGUUGGAAACUCCUCAACCCCCUUCCUAGCUU